GUACCCUUGCUUGUGAACUUAUAAAGCUUCCUCUGUAGGCAAGGAUCACUCAGAGGAGAACGCCUUCCUCUCCUCUCCCUUCCCUCCAGUGGAGACCAUUUGAUCCUUCCCAGGCUGUAAACAAAGCUGUCUGUGUGCAUUUGGGAAGGGCUGCUCCAAGAUGGGACAUGUGUGGCUGAAACCAACCACAGAGAGAAUGGCUGGGGCUUGGCUAAAUUUGAUUGAAGUCAUUCCCUCACUUAGGCUGGGAACCCAGACAAUCUAAAAAUACUUUGGUCCUUUAUUCUGACUCUGAUUUUAGGCCUGUGCUCUGCGUUUCUUUCUGUUUGGUGACAGAAAAUGUUAUCUAAGAGGUUGUUGGGUAUUUUAAAGAAGGACUGGAUUAACAAAAAGAACUCUGCUUUCCACCAGACUGAUGUCUGUGACUGUGAAUGUGCAACGCUGCCAUCUCCGAGGGCUGCUCUGCUCUGCUCUUUCUGGCUAACUUUUAAAUAAGGUCCUGGAAGAUGAGACUGUACAGCUGGCAGGAUGAAAUGGGAGCAGCUGGAAGGGGAAGAUUUGGGUCCUGCAUAUUAAAACAUUUGACAUUUGGUGUCUGAGGGGAACACUGUUUAGAGCUAAUAAAUAACUCACCAAUGAUGACAACCUGUAA